UACGUAGGGUGCAAGCGUUAAUCGGAAUUACUGGGCGUAAAGGGUGCGUAGGCGGUUCGUUAAGUCUGUCGUGAAAUCCCCGGGCUCAACCUGGGAAUGGCGAUGGAUACUGGCGAGCUAGAGUGUGUCAGAGGAUGGUGGAAUUCCCGGUGUAGCGGUGAAAUGCGUAGAGAUCGGGAGGAACAUCAGUGGCGAAGGCGGCCAUCUGGGACAACACUGACGCUGAAGCACGAAAGCGUGGGGAGCAAACAGG
rnacentral:rRNA from 1 species